UCGACUUUAAAAUAUUGUAAAUAUCAUAAUAGAGAACAACCAUAUGUCCAUUCCUGGUACUACCACCCUCAUGAUCUCUUCUAGAACUGUCGCAAUGUCUUGAUAAAUAAUGUCAUUUUGGCAACAAAAAAAAAAAAAAAGAAGAAACAAAGUCAGCUGAACUAAACAAUGUAUACUUAAUGACAAAGUUGAUUUACAUUGUCAUGCCUGCAGAUCACAUUUUGAGUAGCAUUGCUUCAAUAAGUAGAUAAUCUCUAUGUUAUGUAGACUAUUUUAGCUCAUUAAGACCAAAAAAAAAAAAAUCUUAAAAAUCCUUUAAACAUUGUGUGAGGUUAUCAUAAGCUUAAAAUCCAAUCAUGGGUGUAACAAAAACAAAUAAACAAAAAGAACAAAAGAAAGGGUAACAGAGAAAAGGAAGAGAGAAACUGCAAGUCUGGAGAUCUAGAAGAGAAGGAGACAGAGCCCUGACUCUAGGAGAUUCCCUUCUCGUGGAAGGAGAUUGCCGGGAGAGUACAAAGAAAACACUAGCAAGCUCUGUGAAGGGGAUAAAAUAGAGCACGUCGUGGAGAGGGACGGGAAUGGAGAAGAUCUGCUUUAACUGCUCGAGAGAAGCUUUUUUGAUUCUCUGCAAAUUUACCCCCUCUUCUCAUCCCCUUGCUAUCCCACAGCUCAGCACUGACCUCUCAGAUCGUUACUGAGGUCCUUUGGCACAAGGACAGGAUUAUCCCUUUUCCUGUCACAGGAUAGGUGUUCAAAAAAUGCUUAUUGAAUUGCACAAAGGCUCUCAUCUGAUCCUAACGGUAACACUGAAGUAGCCAUUAGCGUCUCCUGUUUUACCAAGGAGGACGCUGCUUCAGAGUGUUUGAAUUCCCAAGGCAGUUCCACGAAUAUGGGAGCUGGGGUGCUAACGUGGGUCUUUCCCACACUGAAACGCCAUCUCCAGAAAUGCUGCUGAUGGGGGAAGCAAAUCUAAGGAGGGACAAAGUCAAAGGCAGGUCACACGCGAUCAGUGGCUUUAACCAUUGAAUACCUUUCCCUCCUUUUUACUUUACCUCUUUUUCCAUUCAAAUCUCUCCGUUGGAAGCCAAUGGCAAGCCUGGUCUUUAUAUGGUUAAAGCAAUUUUAGAAUGAACAACCAGAAAAGGAAGAACUAGAGGGGAGAUUUCUUCCCAAAUGAGAUUUGUAUUAGAACUAAAUCCCAAAUUCAGGCUGACCUGAUACUGUGGGUCAGCUAGGAUGUUCCCUGGAGAAUACACCAAACCCGUCUCUAUGUCCCACUCCCCACCAAGAUAGCAGAUACUGGAGAUGAGGCGUCACGGAUCCCAGGAUCCAGUGCCUCCCAAACUCUCCUCACUUGUGCCUGGGCCCUGAACUUUUGAGUCUUCUCCCCACCCCUACCAGGAAAAGACCUACAGCCACCGUUGAACAGGUGCACAGAGUGGACACAACUGUUCAAGACCACAGAGGAGACUCCUGGGACAGCCUCCACAGCCAGAAGGAAACUGCCCUGGGCUUUCUAAACAAGCACAUUCUCACAUCUUGUAAUGGUGUCACAGCUAGGGUGGAAUCUUCUAAGUGUCAGGAAACGACUGCCAGUUCCCGGGACUGAAGGCCAUUUCUCUGACUCCUGAGGGAACGCCCCGGUUUUCUAAUGCCUAGGAUGGCCUGACCGUGACCCUGAAGAAUGGAGAGACCAGGCUGGAUGCUCCUCACUCUGGGCCAAGUUGGAGGGGACCAUGCUGUUACAUGUAAAACCCACAGGAAAUACCUUAUCAUACUGUCUGUGAAUCACUUUAAGAUAAAGCAGCCUAGGGAGUCAGCUGUAUAUGCUUGUUGGUUUGGGUCUGUAUCCUAGGGAUGGUUAGCUACUGUCUUGGAUCCGUGGUCAUCUGUCUUCUUUGCCCCAUCUGCAGUAUCUAAGGAAGUUGCUCACCCCUCCUCCUUGGAACACUUUCAGGACCUCAGGCUCCCUAGGGGCUCCUGCUGCCUUCAUGCUCCUGUUUCUCAGCCUCCUUUGCUGGCUCCUGCUCCUGACCUUUAGAUAUCUAAGGGACCCAGGAUCACUCCUUGAACCUCAUCUGCUUUCUGUGUCUUCUCAUUCGGUUGUUUCACUGCUCUCAAUCCCGUCUCCACACUGAUGACUCCCAGAUUUAUCUGUCCAGGCAGGACCUCUUCUCUGAACUUGAAACCCUUCUACUCGCCCACCUAACAGCUCCAAUAUCUCACUGGCCUCUCCAAACCAACACCAUUUGCCCCUCAAAAGCUGUUUCUCUCACUUUCUUUUCCAUUUCAUUAAAUGGCAAGUCCUUUCUAGAAGUUGUGGCUUUGACAAAAAAUAAUAAAAGAUAAAACAAAACAACACGACCCUGGAGAGCCAUCCUUCCCUCUCAUCUGCCACACUUCCCAUCUCUCUCUCAGCCUGAAAAACACUCAUCACAGUGACCUAUGAGGCUAGCGGCUGGUUAUGUGACUGAAUUUAGUCCUGAUCCAGACUUGGUGCUGAAGCAAUGGGGAGUUAGGGGCUUACGUCCCCCCCACAAACUUCUCACUUUGGAGGCUACAAAUAUUUGUCACUAGAGUCUAACAAUGGAAGGACUGUGGGCUUAGGUCAGUCGCAAUUAGUUUUAUUCCCUUGCAAUUCAUGGUUUCAACAGCUGUUUGCUGAGGAGUUACUCUGUGCCAGACCCUGUUCUAGGUGUGUGGGACACAGAUGCAACAAAAUAGACAAAAGCCUCUGCUCUCUUGGAACUUACAUUCCAGAUGGCAAACAAAAUAUCAUCCAGUAAGUUACACAGUAUUUGAGGUUUUAAGGUUCUGCCGAGAAAACUAAGGCAGGGGAGAAGGAUAGAGAAUAUUUGGGAGGGAAGGGGGUUCUGUGUUCAGUGUUGGAUAGGACGUCCAGGGGUUGUGUCAUUGAGCAAGUGACAUUUGAAUGAAGAUGACAUGAGGAGUGUGCCAGCAGUGUUUGGGGCCCAGACUGUGUGCCAGUGUGUGCCAGGCAUGGGGCAAUGAUGUACCCUACUCCCUCGGGCCCUGCAAGAGUCGUCUGCUGUGAUCCUAAUAGAGGUGCAGAGGAGGAGGGUGUGCCUGGAGUGGAAUGAAUGAUGGCAAUAGGAGGAAUGGGCUCCGAAGGGGAGCCAGUCUGACUCUGGUCACCGAAAAGGUUUACAAACUGUAGCAGUGCAUACUCCCAGCACCCAGAUUCUGGUCUCGAAAAUUCAAUCUGUCACUAAAGGGAAGCAGGGCUUCUCUGCAUAAUUGCUGAUCCCAGAGCUGGGGCAAGAAAUGGACAUUUCAUCAUACUAGAAAGCAAAAGAAGCUUUCAGAGACUAUGGGUCAUGUCCAAAAGAUUAGGUUAGGAACCAAUGUAAAGAGACUUCCAAAGUUCAAGGAUGGAAUAGUUUGAGUCUCUGCAGUGGAUUGAAAUACAUCAAAUAUGUUAAAAUCCUUGAGUUUAUAAUUAUGCCAAGGGAAAAAAAAACUCUCAUAGGUCACCUUUACAGGUUGCUAGGGAACCAACUCCUUACUCUGAAAACGGAUUUAAAAAGGGAAAGAAGCGAGCAUUUGUCUUGUCUUUUCUAUAUGAACUGUAUCUCAGGAUAGCUAAAUUGUUGUUGAGGAAAAGUUCUUCUUUUAGAAGCAUUCCAGCUAACAGAUGAAGGAGCAGUGGGAGAACUAGGGUACCAUAAUUUUAUAAUCCUUAAUAAAAUAAUAGAUCUGUGAUGAUUGUCAAUGGCUAUUAAAAAUUAUCAAGGGAAAAGCUCAUGGGGAAAUGUUAUAAAAAAUCUUAUUUUUUUUAUUUUUAAACUACUUUAAAUUAUUUUUAUUGUUUAAUUUUAUUUUUAUUUCUUUACAUUUUAAUUUUUAAUUUUUUUUUUAAAUUUUAGCUUAUGGGGAACUUUUAAAAUGAAUGGAUCAGGCUGUCACUGUCUAAAUCCACUAAUCAAAUCUCAACAUCCCCAAAGAGGAGACCACUAGACAUCAUGCACUCAUGAUGUGAUGAGAGAGGAAUUUCACAGGCCAUCUGUGAAGUAUCCUUGUCAAACAAUGCAACCUGGAUUAAUCGAGAUCUAAAUGAUACUUUUUAGGAAAUACAGGUCUUAGGGAAAUACGUUGGAUGAUGCCACACAGAUGCAAUCAGCAAAACGCAGAAUGUGGGAAACUCUAUGGGGCAAAUGACCCAGUUUCUCCAACAAAUACAUUAUAAGGGGAAAAGGAAAGGCAGGGGAGCCCUUAAAUUAAAAGAGACCUAGAAGAUACAGUAACCAGCUGCAAGGAGUGGAUCAUGUUGGGACACUAACUAAAAAAAGAAAAGAAAGAAAGAAAGAAACUGAGAAAAUUGAGGAAAGUUGAACACUGAUUGAAUAUUUGACAAUAUUAAUUCAUGACUGUUGAAGUUCGGUGAUGGUCUAUUGCACUAUUUUCUCCAUUUUGUGUGUGCUUGAAAUGUUCCAUAAUAUAAAGCUUAAAAACAGAGUGUGGGGAGGGAGGGAUACUCACGUACAUAGGAGUCAUUAAGAAAGAUUUUCUAUGAUAAAUGGGAAUAAUAAUCACUAUUUUCUAAGUACAGGGCCAACAGGUAAGUCACUCUUUGCUGUUUCUUCUUUAGUAACCAAUACUGUAAUCAGUAACUUACUGUAGACCCUAAAGGACUAUUUCAGGGAAGAUAUGCUGCUCUUCAUGAACAAAAGGGCUUAGCUCCAAUGUGAUUAGUCCUGCAGGCAGGCUUUUUUCAGCUACCUUAGCAAUGACCAGGGCCAGUGCUUGGCUGGAUGAUGAAACCGUGAGAGAGGUAUAGAAUGCUUCUGUACCACCUUCCUACUGCCUCUCUCAGGUCUUCCUGCCUCUUCCAUACUCUUUUGCCACAAAGGAGCAGGGCUACUUUGUCCAGUUGAGCAGGCUGUACACUGCACAACUCUAGGGAAAUACAGAGCCUGUGUGAAUGGUACCCCUUGGACUUAGGCAGCACGGAAACCCUUAGCAGCAGCCUAGUCACUUCAUGUCAUCUCGGAGUUUGGGACUCCUUAGCCUUAACCAGGGCUAUUUCCUCAGGACCCUACUUUCAGUCUCUGCUAAGGUCAAUGAGUAAUAAUGGUGUAAAUCAUAUUAGAUUUUUUUUUUUUAAUGUAGGCUUUCACGCCCAGCACAGAGACCAAGGUAGGGCUUGAACUCAUGACCGUGAGACCAAGACCUAAGCUGAGAUUGAGUCUGACACUUAACUGACUGAGCCACCCAGACACCCCCAUAUGAGCUCUUUAAGUUGGCAUUUUUCUAGUAUUUCUACCGAUAUCUUUCUCCCACCUAUAAAAUUCCCAUAUGUGUUAGUCAAGAUAGGCUGAAAGCUCCCAGAUCUUAGUAGUUGAACAAAAUGGGUUUUGUUUCUUGCCUCCAUCAUAGUCCAGUAUGAGGGUAGGGUAGAAAGGGAUCUGCCUCUUCCUCUUUCAGGCUCCAUCAUCAGCCAUCACCUCCUUCCCUGAGUCUACUGCAAGAGAAGAAAGUGUGACAAGGCAUCUCCAUCCAAAUGGCCUCUGACCGGAGGUGACACAUAUCCCUUUGACUCACAAUCCAUCAGCAAGAACAUGUGGAGGAACAGAGUGCCAAGGAAGGUGGUGCUGAUGUGUCAGAAUAACCAGCUAGUCUCAGCUACACCAUGGGCGGUGGCCGUGCCUUAUUCCAGUUAAAUUAACCAGCCUCCACUGCAGGAUGCUGACACUGACAGGAGGAGUUCCUGGCCCCCCAGAGAGACAGAGCUUCACAUAAAGAAAACUGAGGUGCAGGGCUGGGGCAAGAAACGUCUUCCUUUGUGGCUGUUUCUUCGCAUAGGUAAAGUCUGGUGGUUUAAUGCAGGUAUUCUCUC